rnacentral:rRNA from 1 species
UACAGAGGUCUCAAGCGUUGUUCGGAUUCAUUGGGCGUAAAGGGCGCGUAGGCUGCGGGGCAAGUCGGGUGUGAAAUCUCAGAGCUCAACUCUGAAACUGCACUCGAUACUGCUUUGCUCGAGGACUGGAGAGGAGAUUGGAAUUCACGGUGUAGCAGUGAAAUGCGUAGAUAUCGUGAGGAAGACCAGUGGCGAAGGCGGCAUCCUGGACCAACACUGACGCUGAGUGAGCGAAAGCCAGGGGAGCAAACGGG